GAUGAACGCUGGCGGCGUGCCUAAUACAUGCCAGUCGAGCGAACAGACGAGGAGCUUGCUCCUCUGACGUUAGCGGCGGACGGGUGAGUAACACGUGGAUAACCUACCUAUAAGACUGGGAUAACUUCGGGAAACCGGAGCUAAUACCGGAUAAUAUAUUGAACCGCAUGGUUCAAUAGUGAAAGACGGUUUUGCUGUCACUUAUAGAUGGAUCCGCGCCGCAUUAGCUAGUUGGUAAGGUAACGGCUUACCAAGGCAACGAUGCGUAGCCGACCUGAGAGGGUGAUCGGCCACACUGGAACUGAGACACGGUCCAGACUCUUACGGGAGGCAGCAGUAGGGAAUCUUCCGCAAUGGGCGAAAGCCUGACGGAGCAACGCCGCGUGAGUGAUGAAGGUCUUCGGAUCGUAAAACUCUGUUAUUAGGGAAGAACAAAUGUGUAAGUAACUAUGCACGUCUUGACGGUACCUAAUCAGAAAGCCACGGCUAACUACGUG
rnacentral:rRNA from 1 species